CUCCUGGGUCAGCUCCUCAAUGGCCAGUCGAGAUGGAUGCGUAGCAUUACCCUCCAGGUAUCGAAGCAGACCCUCGAACUCUCCCGCCGCACGCUUCCGGGCCUGCUGAAGCUCCGGCCGGCCCUCCGUCUCCACCUGGGCCACUGUAAGAGCACACCUGUGGGCCCAGGUUGGCGACCUCCCUCUGCAACUCAUCCAGCCGUAACAGGGCUGGGUGCUGCCCAGGGUACGGGCCCCGGGGUCCGGAAUAACCUGGGAAGGGUCCUGGCAUCUGCUGAGUCUGUGGCUGCUGACUGCCAUGAUCCAUUGUCCUCUUCCCACCAUCAAAGGGUUUCCCAAACAGGCUGAAAGAGAAACAGAUAGCAUCAACACUACAGGGAGGGAGUCGAGAUUCUGGAACUGUCCACGGCAGCGACGAUCAUCUUACCAGCAGUAUCAACUAAAACUAUCUUCUGUUCAUGAAGUCUGAAUGCAAUACACUUCUCAUCAUCAUGAUAUGCCAUCAUGAAGAGUGUCUUAUAGCUGAAGAUUAAUAGAUUAAACAGGGACGUAACGUCCCCCAAAUAUGGGUUUCGCAAUGGCUGAUUCUUAAAUUAGCCUACUACAUUUGUU